ensembl:lncRNA
GUUCAGCCUCAGCACCCCAUGGUGCCACCCACCCCGUGCCCACCGUGGGGGUUUAUUUUCGGCGCGAAGCGAGACGCCUCCUAAAUAGGAAAUCAUCCUUAAUAUGCAGAUGGGACAUAUUUAAUAUGCAAAUUGACACAGCUCUGGCCGGCCGCCAGCGCCGGGUGUCGGUGGUGCCUCGUGUGCACCCAAAGGGACAGCUGCUUCCUGCCUCUGCCACCCGAACCCAGCGGCCAGCGAGCAAAGCAUUGGCGGGACGGAAACCUAUGGGGGUGACCCCCCCCUUUCCACCCCCCCCACCCCAAUUGGUGGCCCUCAUGGCUGCAUGGCAGCAGCAGCUGGGCUGGGGGGUGGGGGGGGGUGAACCCCAACCCCAUCGCUGCAGCUCCCCAGCAUGCAAUCUGAUGGGCAUUGCGUUGGGGGGCAGACCCUGUGCCCCCCACCCUCUCCGUGCCAGCUUUGCGUGUUGUCAGCGUUUCCUUAUGCUGCCGCUCGUGAGGGGCCUCAUUAACAUAUCUAAUUGCCGCCUCUCUAUAGUGAUUUGUGCUGAUUGCUUAUUGGCAUUAGUUACUUUGGAAGGAAAAUUACCCUAAACAUCAAAUAAACCCCGGCAUUAGCCGUAUGGAAAGGGACACCAUGGAGAUAUGGGGAUGGCACCCCCAACCCCCCCCCUUCAGUGUGCUUUGGGGUAACAUACCCACCUCGGUGCCACCGCCAUGGGGAACCCCAUGUCCCGGUUUUGGGACCCACCCCCCCCAUUGUAACCCAUUAUGGUGGUGGCAC